GGUGAAGUAAGUGGCGUGGCUGGUAUCUGUUUAUGUUGCGCCUGUGCGUGUGUAUGCGCCUAUCAGACUGGUAUGGCAUAUGGCCACACAGAUAGACCGGUUGGUAUGGCUGGUACUUUCCCAGCUAGACUGAAGCCAAACUCCCAUGUAAUUUCCUCCUCUAAAAAAACAGAGGGAGGGAGAGAAAGAGGGAGAGGUCCUCUGGUCCAGGAGUCUUCUUCUGUCUUUUUUUUGUCCUAGCAACAUAAUCAGCUCUUUAACAUUACCAAUAGUUAGUCGGGCAUUAGUGGGGUUCCCCAGUCUCUCCUGUAUCCGAUUGUAGCCAAUGGGGCGGCAGGGUAGCCUAGUGGUUAGAGCGUUGGACUAGUAACCUGAAAGGUUGCAAGUUCAAAUCCCCGAGCUGACAAAUCUGUCGUUCUGCCCCUGAACAGGCCGUCAUUGAAAAUAAAAAAUGUGUUCUUAACUGACUUGCCUAGUUAAAUAAAGGUAACAUAAAUACACCCCUUGGUCUGAGUGAUGAAAGCACUUGUCUUUAAGUUUGUAGAACAGUGGAAACGAAUGGGACAGAGAGAGAGAGAGAGAGAGAGAAGAGAAUAGACGCACAAUGAGAUUCCUAUCGAAAGUAAAAGUGAAUCGAUGCCGUGGGUGCGACGCGAACAGACAGACGCACAACAAACGGCAGCAAAGUGCACGGAGCGUUCAAGGACAGCUAUAGCUUAAUGCAUGGAUCAUAUAGUGGAUCAUAUGGUGGAAGCUGUUGCGUUUUAACCGAGGGGAUGGAGACUCUCGAUGCCCGCCAGACAGGUGCCAGGAUGCAGGAUAUGGACAUCAUGGAUCUGCCCCCCUCCCUUACACCUGAGGUUGAAGACUUUCUGCCAGGUAACCCUGGACAAAACACGGAUCUACAGAGAUAUAGUUACCCUGGACUAACACAGAGAUAUAGUUACCCUGGACUGUCACAGAGAUAUAGUUACCCUGGACUAACACAGAUAUAUAGUUACCCUGGACUAACACAGAGAUAUAGUUACCCUGGACUAACACAGAUAUAUAGUUACCCUGGAGUAACACAGAUAUAUAGUUACCCUGGACUAACACAGAUAUAUAGUUACCCUGGACUAACACAGAGAUAUAGUUACCCUGGACUAACACAGAGAUAUAGUUUCCCUGGACUAACACAGAUAUAUAGUAACCCUGGACUAACACAGAGAUAUAGUUACCCUGGACUAAACACUGAUCUACAGAGAUAUAGUUACCCUGGACUAACACAGAUAUAUAGUUACCCUGGACAAACACAGAUAUAUAGUUACCCUGGACCAACACAGAGAUAUAGUUACCCUGGACUAACACAGAUAUAUAGUUACCCUGGGCUAACACAGAGAUAUAGUUACCCUGGACUAACACAGAGAUAUAGUUACCCUGGACUAAACACUGUUCUACAGAGAUAUAGUUACCCUGGACUAACACAGAGAUUUAGUUACCCUGGACUAGCACAAAGAUAUAGUUACCCUGGACUAACACAGAGAUAUAGUUACCCUGGACUAAACACUGAUCUACAGAGAUAUAGUUACCCUAGACUAACACAGAGAUUUAGUUACCCUGGACUAGCACAAAGAUAUAGUUACCCUGGACUAACACAGAGAUAUAGUUACCCUGGACUAAACACUGAUCUACAGAGAUAUAGUUACCCUGGACUAACACUGAUCUACAGAGAUAUAGUUACCCUGGACUAACACAUAGAUAUAGUUACCCUGGACUAACACAGAUAUAUAGUUACCCUCGACUAACACAGAGAUAUAGUUACCCUGGACUAAACACAGAGAUAUAGUUACCCUGGACUAAACACAGAGAUAUAGUUACCCUGGACUAACACAGAGAUAUAGUUACCCUGGACUAACACAGAGAUAUAGUUACCCUGGACUAAACACUGUUCUACAUAGAUAUAGUUACCCUGGACUAACACAAAGAUAUAGUUACCCUGGACUAACACAGAGAUAUAGUUACCCUGGACUAACACAGAGAUAUAGUUACCCUGGACUAAACACUGUUCUACAGAUAAAUAGUUACCCUGGACUAACACAGAGAUAUAGUUACCCUGGACUAACACAGAGAUAUAGUUACCCUGGACUAACACAGAGAUAUAGUUACCCUGGACUAACACAGAUAUAUAGUUACCCUGGACUAACACAGAGAUAUAGUUACCCUGGACUAAACACAGAGAUAUAGUUACCCUGGACUAACACAGAUAUAUAGUUACCCUGGACUAACACAGAUAUAUAGUUACCCUGGACUAACACAGAGAUAUAGUUACCCUGGACUAACACAGAGAUAUAGUUACCCUGGACUAAACACUGAUCUACAGAGAUAUAGUUACCCUGGACUAACACAGAGAUAUAGUUACCCUGGACUAACACAGAAAUAUAGUUACCCUGGACUAAACACUGUUCUACAUAGAUAUAGUUACCCUGGACUAGCCUGUUAUCUCUGUUAGCUCUGUUAGCCCUGUUAGCCUUUUUAGCUCUGUUACCCUGUUAGCUUUGUUAGCUUUGUUAGCUCUGUUAGCUCUGUUAGCCCUGUUAGCCUUUUUAGCUCUGUUACCCUGUUAGCUUUGUUAGCUUUGUUAGCUCUGUUAGCUCUGUUACCCCUGUUAGCUCUGUUAGCCCUGUUAGCUCUGUUAGCCCUGUUAGCCUUUUUAGCUCUGUUACCCUGUUAGCUUUGUUAGCUUUGUUAGCUCUGUUAGCUCUGUUAGCUCUGUUAGCUCUGUUAGCCCUGUUAGCCUUUUUAGCUCUGUUACCCUGUUAGCUUUGUUAGCUUUGUUAGCUCUGUUAGCUCUGUUACCCUGUUAGCUUUGUUAGCUUUGUUAGCUCUGUUAGCUCUGUUAGCCCUGUUAGCUCUGUUAGCCCUGUUAGCUCUGUUAACAUCUUAUCUAUGUUACCCAACUAUUCUGAUUCAUCCCCAACACCUGUUAGCCCUGUUAGCUGCCCCCAGAGCAGGUUUGUUCUGAAGGAUUCGUUGCCAUUACCUGGCUAAAUGGUGAACCACUUUUGUGGUACCAGUUAUCCUGAAUUUAACUCAAGAGUUGACUAAAGUUACCUUGGUAGUUUAUAGGACUCGGGUAACCGUGCAACAAUUACCUUGGUAGUUUAUAGGACUCAGGUAACCGUGCAACAAUUACCUUGGUAGUUUAUAGGACUCAGGUAACCAUGCAACAAUUACCUUGGUAGUUUAUAGGACUCAGGUAACCAUGCAACAAUUACCUUGGUAGUUUAUAGGACUCAGGUAACCGUGCAACAAUUACCUUGGUAGUUUAUAGGACUCAGGUAACCAUGCAACAAUUACCUUGGUAGUUAUAGGGCUACCAGGUAACCGUGCAACAAUUACCUUGGUAGUUUAUAGGACUCAGGUAACCAUGCAACAAUUACCUUGGUAGUUAUAGGGCUACCAGGUAACCGUGCAACAAUUACCUUGGUAGUUAUAGGGCUACCAGGUAACCGUGCAACAAUUACCUUGGUAGUUAUAGGGCUACCAGGUAACCGUGCAACAAUUACCUUGGUAGUUAUAGGGCUACCAGGUAACCGUGCAACAAUUACCUUGGUAGUUAAAGGGCUACCAGGUAACCGUGCAACAAUUACCUUGGUAGUUAUAGGGCUACCAGGUAACCGUGCAACAAUUACCUUGGUAGUUAUAGGGCUACCAGGUAACCGUGCAACAAUUACCUUGGUAGUUAUAGGGCUACCAGGUAACCGUGCAACAAUUACCUUGGUAGUUAUAGGGCUACCAGGUAACCGUGCAACAAUUACCUUGGUAGUUUAUAGGACUCGGGUAACCGUGCAACAAUUACCUUGGUAGUUUAUAGGACUCAGGUAACCGUGCAACAAUUACCUUGGUAGUUUAUAGGACUCAGGUAACCAUGCAACAAUUACCUUGGUAGUUUAUAGGACUCAGGUAACCAUGCAACAAUUACCUUGGUAGUUUAUAGGACUCAGGUAACCGUGCAACAAUUACCUUGGUAGUUUAUAGGACUCAGGUAACCAUGCAACAAUUACCUUGGUAGUUAUAGGGCUACCAGGUAACCGUGCAACAAUUACCUUGGUAGUUUAUAGGACUCAGGUAACCGUGCAACAAUUACCUUGGUAGUUAUAGGGCUACCAGGUAACCGUGCAACAAUUACCUUGGUAGUUAUAGGGCUACCAGGUAACCGUGCAACAAUUACCUUGGUAGUUAUAGGGCUACCAGGUAACCGUGCAACAAUUACCUUGGUAGUUAUAGGGCUACCAGGUAACCGUGCAACAAUUACCUUGGUAGUUAAAGGGCUACCAGGUAACCGUGCAACAAUUACCUUGGUAGUUAUAGGGCUACCAGGUAACCGUGCAACAAUUACCUUGGUAGUUAUAGGGCUACCAGGUAACCGUGCAACAAUUACCUUGGUAGUUAUAGGGCUACCAGGUAACCGUGCAACAAUUACCUUGGUAGUUAUAGGGCUACCAGGUAACCGUGCAACAAUUACCUUGGUAGUUAUAGGGCUACCAGGUAACCGUGCAACAAUUACCUUGGUAGUUAUAGGGCUACCAGGUAACCGUGCAACAAUUACCUUGGUAGUUAUAGGGCUACCAGGUAACCGUGCAACAAUUACCUUGGUAGUUAUAGGGCUACCAGGUAACCGUGCAACAAUUACCUUGGUAGUUAUAGGGCUACCAGGUAACCGUGCAACAAUUACCUUGGUAG
rnacentral:lncRNA from 1 species